GGUACUUUGGCCGAGUGAUUAAGGCGGCGGCCUGAUAAGCCGUUGGACUCAGCCCGCGAGAGUUCGAAUCCCUCGGGUAUCG